AAAAGCGUAAUAGCUCACUGGUCUAGUGAUUUCUGCGCGGAAAAUAUAACGGGGCUAAAGAUUCCACCGAAGCUCUAGAUUUGAUAUUUAUAUCAAGUGGUAGGAGAGCGUUCCAUUCAGCGUUGAAGGUGUACCGGUAAGGAGCGCUGGAGCGGAUGGAAGUGAGCAUGCAGGCAUGAGUAGCGAUAAAACAGAUGAGAAUUCUGUUCGCCGUAAACCCAAGGUUUCCUACGCGAUGUUCGUCAACGUAGGGUUAGUCGGGUCCUAAGCUGAGUCCGAAAGGGGUAGGCGAUGGCAAAUUGGUUAAUAUUCCAAUACCAACUAUAGAGCGCGAUUGGGGGGACGCUUAGAGCUAAACGAGCGCACGGAUGGAAGUGUGCGUCGAAGGGUGUAGGUUGAGUCAUAGGCAAAUCCGUGACUCUCUAUCCGAGACCUGACAGGCACUUGAUGUUCUUCGGAACGGAAGGUGAAUCGUUGAUGCUGUCG
rnacentral:rRNA from 1 species